GACGAACGCUGGCGGCGUGCCUAAUACAUGCAAGUAGAACGCUGAAGGAGGAGCUUGCUUCUCUGGAUGAGUUGCGAACGGGUGAGUAACGCGUAGGUAACCUGCCUGGUAGCGGGGGAUAACUAUUGGAAACGAUAGCUAAUACCGCAUAAUAGUAGAUGUUGCAUGACAUUUGCUUAAAAGGUGCAAUUGCAUCACUACCAGAUGGACCUGCGUUGUAUUAGCUAGUUGGUGGGGUAACGGCUCACCAAGGCGACGAUACAUAGCCGACCUGAGAGGGUGAUCGGCCACACUGGGACUGAGACACGGCCCAGACUCCUACGGGAGGCAGCAGUAGGGAAUCUUCGGCAAUGGACGGAAGUCUGACCGAGCAACGCCGCGUGAGUGAAGAAGGUUUUCGGAUCGUAAAGCUCUGUUGUAAGAGAAGAACGAGUGUGAGAGUGGAAAGUUCACACUGUGACGGUAUCUUACCAGAAAGGGACGGCUAACUACGUGCCAGCAGCCGCGGUAAUACGUAGGUCCCGAGCGUUGUCCGGAUUUAUUGGGCGUAAAGCGAGCGCAGGCGGUUAGAUAGGUCUGAAGUUAAAGGCUGUGGCUUAACCAUAGUACGCUUUGGAAACUGUUUAACUUGAGUGCAAGAGGGGAGAGUGGAAUUCCAUGUGUAGCGGUGAAAUGCGUAGAUAUAUGGAGGAACACCGGUGGCGAAAGCGGCUCUCUGGCUUGUAACUGACGCUGAGGCUCGAAAGCGUGGGGAGCAAACAGG
rnacentral:rRNA from 1 species